rnacentral:rRNA from 1 species
UACGUAGGGGGCAAGCGUUGUCCGGAAUCAUUGGGCGUAAAGAGCGCGUAGGCGGUCCGGUAAGUCCGCUCUGAAAGUCCGGGGCUCAACCCCGGGAGGCGGGCGGAUACUGUCGGGCUAGAGUCCGGAAGAGGCGAGUGGAAUCCUGGUGUAGCGGUGAAAUGCGCAGAUAUCAGGAGGAACACCAAUGGCGAAGGCAGCUCGCUGGGACGGUACUG